CUACUACUCCCUCCGUCAGAAAAUACUUGUCAUUGAAAUGGAUGUAUCUAGAUGUAUUUUAGUUCUAGACACAUCCAUUUUGAUGACAAGUAAUUCCGGACAGAGGGAGUAUUAU
rnacentral:pre_miRNA from 1 species